AAGAGAGAAGAAAAAGAAAAUGGCUAUGACGUAGGAGACGCGCGGCAGGCGGCGGGGGCACAGGGUGAACUGGAUCCGCUAGAAUUGGGGGUGAUUAGGGAAGGAUCGGUCCCCCACAUAUAUGCGGGGCGAUGGAGGUGUUUUUGGUGUCCGCGUAUUUUUACAGGAAGUAUGGGGGAGCUGUUGGAGGUAAGUUUUUUCCCCCUAAAUAAGGUUUUGAGGCAUUUUUAAGGGAGCUUUUGGAGUUGCUCGAAGUGUUUGAAUCAAAUAGAGAUAUUGCAGAUAGGUCCUUCUUUGAUGGACCUAUCGGAAUAUUAAGGGAGCGAUAGUUCACUGACAUGCAUAUGUGGCAAAAAGUGUAAACAAAUUUGUAGGUUUUAGUUUUUUUCGAAC
rnacentral:lncRNA from 1 species